UCCGAUUUGAAGCAUGGCAUAUCUGAUCUGAGCCUUCUCUUUCUACCUAUUUUUUCCUGUUUCUGUUUGGGCCUCCAUCCUCUGCAAUCUCUCGCUCUUCAUUUUUGAUUUUCUUUAUGAUAUUUGUUUUCUAAAAUAUAAAAUUCGCAAUUGCUUUUACAUGAAAUAUGUUUACCUUAAUAUUGCUGUGUGAAUGGUUUAGCUAUGAGGCUUUGCUCUCAGCGAGCGGCGGUUGGUUUCAGGGGACUCUGUCCUCUUUGAUCGUUAGCGGAGCCGGUGACUACUCAUUACGGAUCUUGUGUUGGCAACAGCCCUUAUACCAAUAUAUCUUCUUUCUUUCUUGUGUGUGUGAGUGGCUGUCUGUCGAUCGACUGGCGAGGCUAUGACGAUAUAUUCAGUGAGCCUAAAAAGUCAGACUGGAGGAGAAAUACUCAAUUUCUUGGCGAGGCAAACCUUGAGUUGUUGCAGCCCUGGCAUUGUGGUGUUUCUGUCUUGUCCGAUUUGAAGGCAUAUCUGAUCUGAGCCUUC